UGCAUGUAUUCCCCAAGACUGGUAAAACACAUUCGUUUUGCUUUUGCAUCUUCUCCGGUUAAAAAGCUGCAACUGGAAUGAGUACAACUUUAAUUUAUAUCAUCGGCUACAACCUGAUGCAUGGUACCGAAAGGAACGCAAAUGGCGCCAUCGCUGAUGUUGUUCUGUUUGAGUUCAGUAGAGCCUUGGCUUUCAGCAAAUCGUGUUUUCCAUGUUUUAACGAUGAGCCAAACUAUGAUCAUUGAAUGCGCUAGUAUAUAUAGUUACCGUUCAUUCUCAGGUUCUUGCUUUUUGCGCCACUUUGGUUUUUGAAGUGUAUGUUGCAGACUGUGAUUCCUAUCACACAAAAGCGAGCAAAAGAAAAACUGAUGAAGUUUAAUUAUGCCGCGGUGCUAGACGUUCACUUAUUUAUUACUCUCGUGUAUGCGUGGAAUUGGAUGCAUCAUGCAGCAUAUUGCGAGCAUAGCAGUUAUAUUAGUACCAGUUACUGACCUGAUAGAUACUUGCGGGCAAUCGUCUGAAUAGAAUUGCAACAGGAUAAAUAACGGAUGGGCCGAGGAAAGAAGCGGUCUCCCCAGUACCCAGUGUUGGAGAAAAAUCGAUUCCUUACUCAUGGAAUCAACGUCUACAGUAGCGGUUGUUCGAUAUAGCGUACUAUGUUUUGUUUUGCAGUUCCGAAUUCGAGCUGCAACUUGCAAGUCAGUGGAUUUAUUCUGGCAUUUGCCGGUUAUUUCCUGGCACCACUGGAAAGUAAAACAUAAGAACUGGUCACGACUGGUGAUUUUAUUUUUGAAUUUUAUGCAGGUAUUUAAAGGUGCAUUAGACUGUUAUUCUCUAUUGCCUGCAAGUGUUUUUCGUGAAGGAUUGCUGAGACCGAAGGACUGCAGUAUAUCCAAAUUCCAGAAAACUGUAAACACGACACCAAUCAGUUUUGGACAAUAAACAAGUCAACGCUGCUGAAGAGUCAACAUUUAAAACACGCGAAUUCUUUUUGUGGGUAGCGGUACCGCUAAAGAAUCAAGAAAGUGCACCCGUUUCCAUGUCAGAUCCGAUCUUAUGCUCUGCAAAAAGCGAAUAUAACCUGAAUUAAUAGAAGCAAUGAAGAUCUUUAAUUUUCAAGAACUGAAAAUUCCCAUUAAAAUGCAGAUCCCCAACACGAAAGGAAGGCGAACUUGUCCUCGUGAUCAUUAAGGACGUCUCGUUGUCCAAAGUAAAACCUUCGCAUUCGAAAGGGACAGAGCCAGUUUUGUCGCUCAAGUACGGACUGUAGCUGUCUAACACCAUAUCCUUCAUAUGGUAAUGGUAUAUAUUGGGCGAAUCCUUCAAGAUUUUUUGGCAAUUCCGGAAAGGACACCUUUUCUAAACCAUCAUGGACAUAAAUAAGCCUCAGAAGCGGUUGCAUAAUAUCGCAGUUUCAUAAUUUCGCAUACGAACUAUAUCUAUAUAUGGCUGGCUGUAUCGAAUUCCGCCGACUGUGAGAUCUACGAGCGCCUACAGUGCUCACCCCAUUUCGCUCCCUCUUCCGAAAUGAUUCAGUAAUCUUAUUAAUCACAUCCGGUGUUUCGAGGGUGCUGACAAAUUCCAAAGGAAUGACAUCGGGAGCCUGGUAAUACCGGUCCAAUUCGGUGCGCUUAUACAUCAGCAAACACAAGCCAGCAGAGAGUAACAGGACCAAGAUGCCAGUCUGCACUAAUUGUAUAUACUUAGGCCUGCCCGACUGGAAAGUGGAAACACAAAGUUUUAACGCUGCGGCGGUUGGCACUCUCCUACUGGACUUAUUAACGGCUUAUUUUUAAAAAUUACUUUAUUUGUGAGGUAAAUGACUUUUUUUUGGUUGUGUUUUCUCAACUCCCCUUACCGAUUGUUCCGAGCCAAAAGCGUUUCCACUGGAGCUGGAUGGAUUGAGUCCCUAUGAACAAACAGUUAAAUGGAUAGCUUAUAAAUACAUAGUUAUAUACUAGUUUGUUUUUAAAUUCAUACCACCAGCACUAUUGCCGCAGUUCAAGUUCGACCACUGACCAGUGAGCUCUGGCGAAACCUGCAUUUUUUAGCAUGCAUUUGUCGUUGUAAGCUGUCCUCUAAAACAUGUUAAGAGUGGACGAGGAAAAAGCCGAUAAUAAUAUUCUGUUGC